CGAUCACGUUCAGAGUUUGAUCCUGGCUCAGGACGAACGCUGGCGGCGUGCCUAACACAUGCAAGUCGAACGGGGUUGAGGAGCUUGCUCCUGAACUUAGUGGCGGACGGGUGAGUAACGCGUGAGUAACCUGCCUCUGAGAGGGGAAUAACGUUCUGAAAAGAACGCUAAUACCGCAUAACACAUAUUUGCCGCAUGACAGAUAUGUCAAAGAUUUUAUCGCUCAGAGAUGGACUCGCGUCCGAUUAGUUAGUUGGUGAGGUAACGGCUCACCAAGACCGCGAUCGGUAGCCGGACUGAGAGGUUGAACGGCCACAUUGGGACUGAGACACGGCCCAG
rnacentral:rRNA from 1 species